rnacentral:tRNA from 1 species
GCCCUGUUAGCUCAGUCGGCAGAGCACCAGACUCUUAAUCUGGCUGUCGCGGCUUCGAGCCCCGCAUCGGACU